AAAGUACUCCCUCCAUCCCAAAAUUCUUGUCUUAGAUUUGUCUAGAUACGGAUGUAUCAAGUCACAUUUUAGUAUUAGAUACAUAUGUAUCUAGACAAAUCUAAGACAACAAAUUUGGGACAGAGGGAGUAGUUG
rnacentral:pre_miRNA from 1 species